GAUGAACGCUGGCGGCGUGCCUAACACAUGCAAGUCGAGCGGGAUUGUGGAGUAGCUUGCUACGAAGCAAUCUAGCGGCGGACGGGUGAGUAACGCGUGGGCAACCUGCCCUAUACAGGGGGAUAACACACCGAAAGGUGUGCUAAUACCCCAUAACACCGAUGCUUCGCAUGGAGAGUCGGUCAAAGAUUUAUCGGUAUAGGAUGGGCCCGCGUCUGAUUAGCUAGUUGGUGAGGUAAAGGCUCACCAAGGCGACGAUCAGUAGCCGACCUGAGAGGGUGAUCGGCCACACUGGAACUGAGACACGGUCCAGACUCCUACGGGAGGCAGCAGUGGGGAAUAUUGCACAAUGGGGGAAACCCUGAUGCAGCAACGCCGCGUGAGCGAUGAAGGCUUUCGGGUCGUAAAGCUCUGUCCUAAGGGAAGAAGAAUGACGGUACCUUAGGAGGAAGCCCCGGCUAACUACGUGCCAGCAGCCGCGGUAAUUCA
rnacentral:rRNA from 1 species